ACCAAGGUUACCCGUCCCAUCUGACCGCUCUACCAAGGUUACCCGUCCCAUCUGACCGCUCUACCAAGGUUACCCGUCCCAUCUGACCGCUCUACCAAGGUUACCCGUCCCAUCUGACCGCUCUACCAAGGUUACCCGUCCCAUCUGACCGCUCUACCAAGGUUACCUGUCCCAUCUGACCGCUCUACCAAGGUUACCCGUCCCAUCUGACCGCUCUACCAAGGUUACCUGUCCCAUCUGACCGCUCUACCAAGGUUACCUGUCCCAUCUGACCGCUCUACCAAGGUUACCCGUCCCAUCUGACCGCUCUACCAAGGUUACCCGUCCCAUCUGACCGCUCUACCAAGGUUACCUGUCCCAUCUGACCGCUCUACCAAGGUUACCCGUCCCAUCUGACCGCUCUACCAAGGUUACCUGUCCCAUCUGACGCUCUACCAAGGUUACCCGUCCCAUCUGACCGCUCUACCAAGGUUACCCGUCCCAUCUGACCGCUCUACCAAGGUUACCUGUCCCAUCUGACGCUCUACCAAGGUUACCCGUCCCAUCUGACCGCUCUACCAAGGUUACCCGUCCCAUCUGACCGCUCUACCAAGGUUACCUGUCCCAUCUGACCGCUCUACCAAGGUUACCCGUCCCAUCUGACCGCUCUACCAAGGUUACCUGUCCCAUCUGACGCUCUACCAGAAGGUGGCAGUGAUGUGUUGUUGACCUAAUGCUCAUAUCGCCAUGACUACUGCAGGUCGUUCUGUUCCCACUAGAUGGCCAAGUUGCAAAGAUAAUUUAAGAUGUGGGUAAGGCAUCAAGGUUAGUUAGCAGUGUGGUUAAGAUUCAGGUUAGGUUUAAAAAAUAUAUUUUAAGAUGAGAAAUUGUAUUAGGCUUUUGACUUGUCCAGCACUAGAGCAGAAGAGAGAGAAUGGGGAACUCUGACACCCAUAGCAGCUUACACAGCGACUUACCCUGGGAAACUACUCAAACAGGUGGAGGAAUCUUAUGAGAAGGUAUUCUCUGGGCAUGCCUAAACAAAACUCCUUAUUCCACAGUAAUAUAUGUAUGUGAGGGUGUGGUGAAAACCGUUCGCACACAGGAAAAACCAUCCUGGCUACAAACUUGUACAAUAGUAACAAACAACAUUAACUCCAUGUGGAGACUGACUACGUCUUCAACAAUACAUUCUUUAGAACCAAGUGUUCUCAGAAUGUGACCUGGGUUUGAGCCUCCGGUCUGCCGUAGCAGGGAAGGACCAUUUUAUUAUAUAGUAUAUAAUAUUUCUCCUUAAAAAAAAUGUACUUUUUUUUUUUUUUUACCUUUUAUUUAACUAGGCACUUGCCAGUUAAGAACACAUUCUUAUUUUCAAUUACGGCCUAGGAAGAAGUGGGAUAACUGCCUUGUUCAGGGACAGAAUGACAGAUUUUUACCUUGUCAACUCGGGGAUUCGACCUUGCAACCUUCCAGUUACCAGUCCAACACUCUCUCCACUAGGCUACCUGCCGCCCCUACAUGAUGCAUGGUCUUGAUAACGUCAGUAUAUUUUUUUUGCCCAGGUUUUUAUUGAGUGAACCAAAAUCAUGAACUGAUAACAGAAAGAGAACACAGCAUUUUUUUUAAAUCCUGUUUGGACCAUCAGGGAGGACUGUUGUGUGUUUGAUCAAUUCCAGGGACCGUCUGUAAUCUUCACAUGGAUGCUCCCGAGAGCUACUACCUUUUUCACUUCCCUAAGAUAACAUUCAGUUUUAGCCAGGUAGGGAAGGAGAAGGGAGCG